UGCUGGAGGUAUCACAAGUGCGAAUGCUGACAUGAGUAACGAUAAAGGGGGUGAAAAACCUCCUCGCCGGAAGACCAAGGGUUCCUGUCCAACGUUAAUCGGGGCAGGGUAAGUCGGCCCCUAAGGCGAGGCCGAAAGGCGUAGUCGAUGGGAAACGGGUUAAUAUUCCCGUACUGCURCUUACUGCGAUGGGGGGACGGAGAAGGCUAGGUGGGCYUGGCGAUGGUUGUCCAGGUUCAAGUGCGUAGGCUGAUUUCUUAGGCAAAUCCGGGAAAUCAAGGCCGAGACACGAUGUCGAGCCACCAAGGUGGUGAAGUCAUUGAUGCCAUGCUUCCGGGAAAAGCCUCUAAGCUUCAGGUAAGUAGSAACCGUACUCCAAACCGACACAGGUGGUCGGGUAGAGAAUACCAAGGCGCUUGAGAGAACUCGGGUGAAGGAACUAGGCAAAAUGGUACCGUAACUUCGGGAGAAGGUACGCUGCCCGCGGUGAAGUCCCUWGCGGAUGGAGCUAUGGGCAGUCGCAGAUACCAGGUGGCUGCAACUGUUUAUUAAAAACACAGCACUGUGCAAAAUCGAAAGAUGACGUAUACGGUGUGACGCCUGCCCGGUGCCGGAAGGUUAAUUGAUGUGGUUAUCGCAAGAGAAGCCAUUGAUUGAAGCCCCGGUAAACGGCGGCCGUAACUAUAACGGUCCUAAGGUAGCGAAAUUCCUUGUCGGGUAAGUUCCGACCUGCACGAAUGGCGUAAUGAUGGCCACGCUGUCUCCACCCGAGACUCAGUGAAAUUGAAAUCGCAGUGAAGAUGCUGUGUACCCGCGGCUAGACGGAAAGACCCCGUGAACCUUUACUACAGCUUGGCACUGAACAUUGAGCCUACAUGUGUAGGAUAGGUGGGAGGCUUUGAAGCGGCGACGCCAGUUGCUGUGGAGCCAUCCUUGAAAUACCACCCUUGUAUGUUUGAUGUUCUAACUUAGCCCCRUUAUCYGGGGUGAGGACAGUGCCUGGUGGGUAGUUUGACUGGGGCGGUCUCCUCCCAAAGUGUAACGGAGGAGCACGAAGGUGGGCUAAUCACGGUCGGACAUCGUGAGGUUAGUGCAAUGGCAUAAGCCCGCUUAACUGCGAGAGUGACGGCUCGAGCAGGUACGAAAGUAGGUCAUAGUGAUCCGGUGGUUCUGAAUGGAAGGGCCAUCGCUCAACGGAUAAAAGGUACUCCGGGGAUAACAGGCUGAUACCGCCCAAGAGUUCAUAUCGACGGCGGUGUUUGGCACCUCGAUGUCGGCUCAUCACAUCCUGGGGCUGAAGUCGGUCCCAAGGGUAUGGCUGUUCGCCAUUUAAAGUGGUACGCGAGCUGGGUUUAGAACGUCGUGAGACAGUUCGGUCCCUAUCUGCCGUGGGCGUUGGAUGAUUGAGGGGAGCUGCUCCUAGUACGAGAGGACCGGAGUGGACGAACCGCUGGUGUUCGGGUUGUGUCGCCAGACGCAUUGCCCGGUAGCUAAGUUCGGCACAGAUAAGCGCUGAAAGCAUCUAAGCGCGAAGCUGGCCCCGAGAUGAGUCAUCCCUAGAGCCUCGAGCUCUCUAAAGGGUUGUNGUCGGCUCAUCACAUCCUGGGGCUGAAGUCGGUGCCAAGGGUAUGGCUGUUCGCCAUUUAAAGUGGUACGCGAGCUGGGUUUAGAACGUCGUGAGACAGUUCGGUCCCUAUCUGCCGUGGGCGUUGGAUGAUUGAGGGGAGCUGCUCCUAGUACGAGAGGACCGGAGUGGACGAACCGCUGGUGUUCGGGUUGUGUCGCCAGACGCAUUGCCCGGUAGCUAAGUUCGGCACAGAUAAGCGCUGAAAGCAUCUAAGCGCGAAGCUGGCCCCGAGAUGAGUCAUCCCUAGAGCCUCGAGCUCUCUAAAGGGUUGUCGUAGACUACGACGUUGAUAGGCAGGGUGUGUAAGCGCUGUGAGGCGUUGAGCUAACCUGUACUAAUGGCCCGUGAGGCUUAACCAUACAACACCCAAGGGGUUU
rnacentral:rRNA from 1 species